GAAGCUCUCAACCCUAUCAUGGCCAUCGUUCAUUUCCAGACAUUCCCAUUCUUUCUUAACGUAGAGGGCUGCACCACUGCCUUUCCUGCCUUGCCUCUCUCUUUUGAAAAGUCGCUAGCCAUCCAUCACAGCACUCCAGCUGUGUGAGUCAUUCCACCACGUUUCUGUGAUUUUUCUCCUGUUUUUGGAUUCCAAGAAAAGCCAGGUAGGAUUAUUUUUAUUGUUAUUCUUUUUUUAAUGGCAGGCAUUGUGUUCAACUUAAAAAAGGAACGCAUGAAGAAUAGCUUUGUUUGCAUUCUGGUGAGUGUUUCUCUUCCAGAUCUUUGAAUCAGCUUUCUACACGGCUUAAGCGAUGGAACAGGAAAGACUCCAAUAUGGUAACAACGUGAUUUCUAGUGUUUUGGAAAGAUUGUUUCACGUGUAAUGAAAAGCUAGUGUCCAGAUGAUCACUGCGGCCAGAUGGCAAUUUUGAUGCC